UUUCUUUCUUCUUCUGCUCCUCUCUGUUCUUCCUCUUUCCUCUCUGAUAAUCUUAAUUCAAGGAUUGAGUUUGAUUUUAGUCGAGUGGAUCUUAGUUAGCGUAGUAUGUGGAUGAUUUGAGAGUAAGGAUGGAAGUAUUGCAAGUUUGUUUAGCGCUGAAAGAUGAACUGAAUUAAGGUUAUAUGGUCGAUUGAAGUUCCGAAGAUUUAGAAGAUAAUUUAUGAAGCUAUUGUUGACGAAGAAUCAUGGGUAGUUGUUUAAUUGAAGUUCCUAAGUUGAUUCAGUGAGGGAUUGGUGAAUUAGGGUUUGUGAUAAUUUCUAAAGAGAUUAGGAAGAUGAAAUUGAAGAACGGGUUUUGAAGAUGAUGAGGUGAAUAAGAAGAUAAUGAGGUUAAUUUGAAGAUUUGUUUGCAGAGAAGACCGAUUUGGAGAUUUGCAGAACUAGAGUUUUGUUCUAUGGUUUUCUCUUAAGUUAAUUUAAGGAAGAUGGAGUUCAUAUCAUAAUUAAGGGGUAUCAAUCGAAUUAGAGGAAUUGUUGUAAGAAAACUUAACUGGUUGAGCUGGUGAUUUAAUUUAAGAAGGAGAUGUAGAUGAAUUGAGAAAUUACAGAUGCAGAAAAUGAACUAUGGUGGUGGUUUGAGAUGGUUUAUGGAAUUGAGACAAGUAAAGAAGAAUUCAGCCUCAAAUGCUUGAUUGAAUCCAUUCUGAGGUAAUUGUUUUGCUUAAUUGAUUUGGAAGAGUUAUUCCUGUUUAUUAUUGAGAUUAUGUGAAUGCUUAUGAAGUAAAGAAUUAUGUUGAUAUAAAAUGGAGUUGUGUUGAUUAGAUUUAGAUUUAUUUUGAUCUACAUGGGUUAGUAUAUGUUGAAGAGGAAAAUUAGAGUUGUCCUGGUUAUGUAGACUGAGAUGAAUUGAUGCAGUUUUAGUUUAGAUGAAUGUGUAUGUUUCUUCAAGGUGGAAUGAGAAGUUAAGGUUUAAAGUUAAUCUGCACAGGGUGUAUUGACCGAGCAGAUUACGGGUGAGAUGAAGAUGUGUUUGGAUGUGGAACCAUUAUAAGUGGUGGUAGUGAUGUUGCUUAACUGGUUGUUGGGGUUAAGAUACAGGUUGAGCUUAAUUGAGUUGGUGGGUUGAGUAUGGUCUGGUGCAGGUGGAUGGAAUAGAGAAAUGGUAAUGGUAGUAAGUUAGUGUAGUACUGUUGGACUGGAUUGUGUAUGAAUGAACUGUUGGGUUCAUUGUAAAGAGUUGGAACUAGAUAUGGUGUUCUUUAUGAUGAAUGAUUAACUGCAAGUGGCCGGAUGAAGUAGAUUUGCAGUUGCAGAUAAAUGUAAUGAGUUACAAGUAGUGGUGGUGUUGAAUUUUAGUUAUAGUUGAUCUGAAACUGGUGAUGAUUCAGUUUAGUGGAAUGUGGUGCUAAAAGCUGCAAUUGCAGUUUCAGAGACAGAUCAGAGUUGCGUAGCGGAAGCUUCGAAGAGUUGAUUUCAUUAGUUGGAUAACUUUUACUAUGUUUAUUAUAUUGCAUAUUGUAUCUGUAAACCUAAUGACUAUUGUAUAUGUAUCAUUUGAGAGGACUUCUUGUAUAUAUAUGUUUCAGAGCGGGUUAGUUUUGGGUUAAGUUUUGUAGCACAUUUCUUAGUUGAAUGAUUAUGUAUAUGAUUUAGAUUUCUAA